rnacentral:rRNA from 1 species
CCUACGGGGGGCUGCAGUGAGGAAUAUUGGUCAAUGGGCUUACGCCUGAACCAGCCAAGUCGCGUGAGGGAAGACUGCCCUAUGGGUUGUAAACCUCUUUUAUAAGGGAAUAAAGUGUGGGACGUGUCCUAUUUUGUAUGUACCUUAUGAAUAAGGAUCGGCUAACUCCGUGCCAGCAGCCGCGGUAAUACGGAGGAUCCGAGCGUUAUCCGGAUUUAUUGGGUUUAAAGGGUGCGUAGGCGGCCUUUUAAGUCAGCGGUGAAAGUCUGUGGCUCAACCAUAGAAUUGCCGUUGAAACUGGGGGGCUUGAGUAUGUUUGAGGCAGGCGGAAUGCGUGGUGUAGCGGUGAAAUGCUUAGAUAUCACGCAGAACCCCGAUUGCGAAGGCAGCCUGCCAAGCCAUGACUGACGCUGAUGCACUAAAGCGUGGGGAUCAAACAGGAUUAGAUACCCUAGUAGUC